AACGAACGUUAGCGGCGCGCCUAAUACAUGCAAGUCGAGCGAGAAAGGGCUUCGGCCCCAGUAAAGCGGCGCACGGGUGAGUAACACGUAGGUCAUCUCCCCUCGAGUGGUGGAUAACCCUCCGAAAGGAGGGCUAAUACAGCAUGAGACCACGAUCCCGCUGGGAUUGCGGUCAAAGCAGGCCUCUACAUGUAAGCUUGCGCUUGAGGAUGAGCCUGCGGCCCAUCAGCUUGUUGGUAAGGUAACGGCUUACCAAGGCUAAGACGGGUA
rnacentral:rRNA from 1 species